rnacentral:lncRNA from 1 species
GUGGCCUGCCGCGCGCCGGGCGGGGCUCGGGAAGUUUCUCGGGUUGGCUUGGGUUUCGCAUCCUCAUCAUGUAGCGCCAGCCACACCAGGAACAGAAGGGUGCCGGGUACCUUCCGCAUGCUUGGUAUUCUCCCCGCGGGGCUCUGACCGCUGCCGCUCUCAGGCACCUGUCUUUCCUCUCCGUCCCAGAAUGGAGCCAAGACAAGGGAAUAAACGAAAUUCAAUAGUACACGGAGAUCGGGUGUCUGGGCAGCGUCUUGGAAAAACUAUCCACUACAGUACAGGUCAAGUGAAGUUCUUCUGCUGAUAUGUUCUGCUACUGCAUAAGAGACGGAAUCUAUGUUGCCUCGACUGGUCCUGAACUCCUGGGCUAAAGCGAUCCUUCUGCCUUGGCCUCCCAAAGUGCGAGGAUUAUAGGUGUGAGCCACCCAACCUGGCCUUUGCCAGUAUUUUUAAAUCCAAACACCUAUGCAUGGUGCUUACUAAUAACACAGUGGUAUUCUAAACAUUUUUCACCUAUUAUUUAAUCUUUAUUAUUAUCACCAUGUUACAGAUAAGGACCCUGGCUAAAUAGCUUACCCAACAUUACUCCGUUAAUA